rnacentral:rRNA from 1 species
GUGAACCAGCGGAGGGAUCAUUACCGAGUUUACAACUCCCAAACCCCUGUGAACAUACCAAUAGUUGGCUCGGGGGGUCAACCCGGUCCCGCUAAAAAGGGACGGCCCGCCACAGGGGCCCCAAAAUCUGUGUCUAUAUGUAGUUUCUGAUUAAAACCAUAAAUAAUUCAAAACUUUUAACAACGGAUCUUUUGGUGCUGGUGUCUAUGAAGAAAGCCGCUUCAAUGCUGUGAGUCNUGNUAGUGUGNACCAUAGUGACUCAUUGUAUAUUUUGUGUCUCCUUGUGUAUCCAGUAGACUAUGGAGUGACGUCUGUUUCUCGCUACUCUCUACCACUCUCUACCCUUCUUCACGUGUGUCUUGUAUAGUAGUCUGUCUAGUCUAGUCUCUCUAUCCCUACCUCGUCUACUGUGUACUGUAGUACUACGUCCUCUACCAGUAGUUUGUCUUCUCGUCUCUUCUCGUGCUAUUACUGUCUCUUCCGUCCUACUCGUAGUCUUCUACUACUCUUCUUGUCCUCUCUA